GGGCUUAUGGUGCAGUGGUAGCAUUCUCGCUUUGCAUCUUGCGAUGUUUGUGAGCGGUCCAGGGUUCAAACCCCUGUGAGUCCA